rnacentral:rRNA from 1 species
GAUGAACGCUGGCGGCAUGCCUAAGACAUGCAAGUCGAACGAGGAGACCUUUGGAAAAUGGAGUGCUUGCACAAAGUUAGAAGAAGAUUAUCUCCUAGUGGCAGACGGGUGAGUAACACGUGGGUAACCUACCUUUAAGCUGGGGAUAACAGUUGGAAACGACUGCUAAUACCGAAUAAGAGGUACGUAAAAAUAUCAUUGAAAGGAGCCUUUAAAGCUUCACUUAAAGAUGGGCCUGCGGCGUAUUAACUAGUUGGUGAGGUAAUGGCUCACCAAGGUAACGAUGCGUAGCCGAACUGAGAGGUUGAACGGCCACACUGGGACUGAGACACGGCCCAGACUCCUACGGGAGACAGCAGUUAGGAAUAUUCGUCAAUGGGGGAAACCCUGAACGAGCAAUGCCGCGUGAGUGAUGAAGGUCCUCUGGAUUGUAAAACUCUGUUGUAUGGAAAAAAUGACUAUAUUAGGAAAUGAAUAUAGAGUGAUGGUACCAUACGAGAAAGCU